GGGAGGGGAAAAUUGGGGGGUUGGGGAGAGGACUGUACUAAUGUGUUCAGCCCUAAAGUGGAAUGGAUGCGUGGGGUGGGGGUAGGGGGGCGGUAGUAAGGCAAAAGCUGGAAGGAGAGGACCAUUAAGGAAGCGCCUUUCUUCCCUCCCCUGCCAAAGCCCAGGAUGGCCUGAAAUGUAUUAUGUCGUCCAGGCUGGCUUUGGGGUUAUGGUCCUCCUCCUCCUCCUUCGUGCUAGAAUGUGGAGCUUUCUUCACCUCACUCAAGCUCUCAGCGAGAUGCUCAGAACGAUCAAUAGAUGACGUUCCCAGCCCGUGUGCUGGUGGAGGGUCCUACACUGCGCAGGACAAGUCUGCUGAGACUCCAAACGGUCAGCUUGACAGAUGCCGAGAGCCACAGCAGGUGCUUUCUGCCUUCUGUUGGCAGGAGAGGCAGAAAGGCCUGUGCUGACCAAUCUCCAAUCUGCUAGUCAAUGAGGAAGACAUAACUCUUUAGGCCAACACAGCUUGCUAAUUUCCUGUGAUCGGACACCUUUGCAACUCUGAGCCAGGUUCAUUUCCAUACGUAAUGGGACAGAAGUGUAUAGGUAUUUUGUCUCAGUUAAGAGAGCAACAGAUAUCGUGGGUAAGUCAGCAUCACCAAUCCACGUAGCAUAGGUCUACCGGAUGCCAGUGCACAGACAGCUGCCUCCAGGAGACACUCACAGGAGCUGUGCUUCAGGCUACCAGCGGGAUAGAUGCACCUGUUUGCUGUUAAACAGAUCUGUGUGAAAGCUCAGCAGAGGAUGACUUCAGAUUUGAAUGUUCCAUCCACCCCAGCUUAGAUAUAAUUUGUCCACUAAGAA